UGGUGAACUGGAACUUAGAAGAGAUAUGC
rnacentral:piRNA from 1 species